UACGUAGGGUCCGAGCGUUGUCCGGAAUUACUGGGGGUAAAGAGCUCGUAGGUGGUUUGUCGCGUUGUUCGUGAAAACUCACAGCUCAACUGUGGGCGUGCGGGCGAUACGGGCAGACUUGAGUACUGCAGGGGAGACUGGAAUUCCUGGUGUAGCGGUGGAAUGCGCAGAUAUCAGGAGGAACACCGGUGGCGAAGGCGGGUCUCUGGGCAGUAACUGACACUGAGGCACGAAAGCCAGGGGAGCAAACGGG
rnacentral:rRNA from 1 species